ACUCACACAGGUUCUGACCUGCAGAGAGAAUCAUGGCUACCAUUUUAUAAUAUUUCCAACUAGUCUUUCACACAAUAGGUUUCAUAUUCUCUAUUCUAUCUGUGGGCUUUACAUGUCUUUCUUCCAUUUUAUUUCAUGUUGGAACCACUUUUCAGAAUCACAAAAAGUCUUUGAAAACAUUUUUUUAAAAAACUGCUGAAUAUUCUCUAAUAAGGAUGAAUCGUAAUUUAUGAUGAGUUCAUCCUUGGGCUUGAUUGCUAAUUACCACCAGCCAAAGGCUGGCCAGCUACUCUUUUAUGGUCUUAAUUCUCUUUUAUUGACUCUGAUCACAAGGAUGCAGCUGCUGUCCAGCCGAACAUUCCUUCUAAAAGAGGAGGACCUUGGAGGAGGUCGGGGGAGAGGGAAAGAGCUGUUUUAGCACUGUGAGGAAGAACUUCCCACUGUUCAGUGAUUUCCCAUCCUGUGUCUCAUGUCUCUGAAUGAUAACAUUUGGUCCAGAUGGAGAGUCAGGAUCAGGCCUUCGCACUAUAGGGUGCCUUGUCUCCUACAAGCUCCGGCUCAUGCCAACCCGCUGAGCAGGGUGGGUUCGUCUUACCCAAAGUGAUGGUUCGGCAAAUUGGCUAUGAAUCAAGCAAAUGGGUCCCUUGCUGACUGCAGCACAUAAAACUCUUACAAGGAUAAAUAAGUCAGGGCCAUAUCAUUUCCUGAUUUAUGGUUGCCUGUUUCCCUGAAGCAGGAGGAGCCCUUCUUUGGAGGCCCUCCUAUAAGAGCCUGAGUUCUCAGGAAGCUCACCUGGCUAAAUCAUUACGCCUCAGAGUAUUGCUGCACUAAAGGCCCCAGGAUAUGGUGACCAGAAGCUCAGGGACAUGCAAGGUUUACAGCUCUGGGAGGGGUUCAGCUGUCCUAGUGGGAGGAAUGAGAGAUGUGUCUGACCAGCUGUGGGUUUGAGUUGGCAAAGCUGUUGAAAUCCGCUGAGUUCUGAGGGAUGCUGACUUCACUCCCAUGGUAAAGGCUGGCAUGCAGAGGGCAGCAGAGCACAGGGUGGCAUUCACUGGGGGAGAGAGGCACAUGGGAAAUUAAUAGAAACACAAAGGGAAAAAGAGAGAGAGAGAGAGAAAUGCACAUGGGCAGCAAACCUGAAAAAAUAUUUAACUUCACCUGCAAUCAAUGAACUGAGAUUAAAGGCAAUCAUGUUUUACCUACAAGAUUAUUUGUAUUAGAAAAUUACCAUGGGAGGGGGGACACUCUUGUAUGCUGUUAGCAGUGGAAUAAAUUUGUAUUUGAG
rnacentral:lncRNA from 1 species